AGUUCUGUGGUGUAAUGGUUAGCACUCUGGACUUUGAAUCCAGCAAUCCAAGUUCAAAUCUCAGUGGGACCU
rnacentral:tRNA from 1 species